UACAGAGGUCUCAAGCGUUGUUCGGAUUCAUUGGGCGUAAAGGGUGCGUAGGCGGCGCGGUAAGUCGGGUGUGAAAUCUCGGAGCUUAACUCCGAAACUGCAUUCGAUACUGCCGUGCUUGAGGACUGGAGAGGAGACUGGAAUUUACGGUGUAGCGGUGAAAUGCGUAGAUAUCAGGAGGAACACCGGUGGCGAAGGCGGGUCUCUGGGCAGUAACUGACGCUGAGGAACGAAAGCGUGGGUAGCGAACAGG
rnacentral:rRNA from 1 species